rnacentral:rRNA from 1 species
UGGGGAAUUUUGGACAAUGGGGGAAACCCUGAUCCAGCCAUCCCGCGUGUGCGAUGAAGGCCUUCGGGUUGUAAAGCACUUUUGGCAGGAAAGAAACGUCGCGGGUUAAUACCCCGCGAAACUGACGGUACCUGCAGAAUAAGCACCGGCUAACUACGUGCCAGCAGCCGCGGUAAUACGUAGGGUGCAAGCGUUAAUCGGAAUUACUGGGCGUAAAGCGUGCGCAGGCGGUUCGGAAAGAAAGAUGUGAAAUCCCAGAGCUUAACUUUGGAACUGCAUUUUUAACUACCGGGCUAGAGUGUGUCAGAGGGAGGUGGAAUUCCGCGUGUAGCAGUGAAAUGCGUAGAUAUGCGGAGGAACACCGAUGGCGAAGGCAGCCUCCUGGGAUAACACUGACGCUCAUGCACGAAAGCGUGGGGAGCAAACAGGAUUAGAUACCCUGGUAGUCCACGCCCUAAACGAUGUCAACUAGCUGUUAGGGCCUUCGGGCCUUGGUAGCGCAGCUAACGCGUGAAGUUGACCGCCUGGGGAGUACGGUCGCAAGAUUAAAACUCAAAUGAAUUGACGGGG